rnacentral:lncRNA from 1 species
UAAUAUCAAGGUGAGAUGGAUUAUGUAAUAAUAAUCUAAGUACAGAAAACGCAAUAUUUCGCAUGCAGACUUAAUUAGAGAACGUUAGGAAUAUUAAGCGUUAAGAAGAGAUUAUAUUGAUCGUAUGAUACGUAAGUAUUGUACGAGGUAUUGAAUAGAAGUAUAAUAUAAAGUAUUAUAUGAGUAUGUAUGUAGAAUAGAAUUACUUAUAUUACGAAUGAAUAUACGAACUAGAAUACAAGGAUUAUACGUAUAGUAUAUGUAAUAAGGGUUUUAGCCAAUUAAGUGGGACUUGUAGGAUUAUUAGCAUAUUGGUAGAAUCCAACAAGAAUUAAGGUGCAAGCCCAAGUGAUUAUUAAUGCAAGCCCAGAAUGAAUAAGCUAAGUUAAUUAACUUAAGCCUAAUGUAAUAAUCCAAUGGGUUAAACAUGAUCCAUAGAGCAACCAAGGGUGAUGUGGGUUAAACUUGGUGACCAAGUACUUUAUGUGAUGGCCAAGAAUAGGAUAUAUUUUGUGAUGGCCAAGUAAUAUGAGUGAUUAGCAAGUUUACUUAAUUGUUAAGCAAAUGAAUAGUAAGGAUGUUAGUUAAGGAGGUGGGGUGAUUAAUGAUCGUAAUGCCCUAACUUUGCCAAGUCUAUAAAUAGCAAAUUAGAUUUUAUUAUUUUGCUUAUUCUUUUUCCUCCAAACUUCUAACAAGUUAAGUAACUUAAGUGUUAGAGAGAAUAAGCACAUAUAAGUCAAACAUCCUUUGCUAGAUUUCCGAGAAGAAGAGAAGUACUAGUUCUUCAAGGGUAAGACUCUUGUCUAAUAAUUUUCCAUCUUUAUCAUUGUAAGGUGAUAAGAGAAGGGUAACUUAAUAGGUGUGGCGACCCCAAAUCCAGGUACUUGAAACCCGAACUCGGUUCUCCACGAUACCAUUUCUUUAAGCUGAAUAAUACUAAAUAAUAAUACAUUCGAACUUAAUUUACAUACAUCAAAGUUUACUUCCCCAAGUACGUGACCUUCAAAAUACGUUCCUUACAAUACCUGACAAUAGAUUCCAUUGUCUUACUAACUAUAACCAUUAACUCAUACUAAAUCUCAUUUGAACAGCUUUUCUUUUCCCUUUUCGUGCCUGAGCCUUCAGGUCGAUCGUACG